rnacentral:rRNA from 1 species
GAUCCUGGCUCAGGAUGAACGCUAGCUACGGGCUUAACACAUGCAAGUCGAGGGGCAUCAGUUUGGUUUGCUUGCAAACCAAAGCUGGCGACCGGCGCACGGGUGAGUAACACGUAUCCAACCUACCUCAUACUCGGGGAUAGCCUUUCGAAAGAAAGAUUAAUAUCCGAUAGCAUAUAUUUCCCGCAUGGGUUUUAUAUUAAAGAAAUUCGGUAUGAGAUGGGGAUGCGUUCCAUUAGUUUGUUGGGGGGGUAACGG